GUGCUUGCUUCAGCAGCACAUAUACUAAAACUGUAAUGAUGGAAGAUUAGCAUGACCCCUGUGCAAGGAUGACACACAAAUUCAUGAAGCAUUCCAUAUUUUU